AUUGAACGCUGGCGGCAGGCCUAACACAUGCAAGUCGAACGGAGUGGCGGACGGGUGAGUAAUGUCUGGGAAACUGCCUGAUGGAGGGGGAUAACUACUGGAAACGGUAGCUAAUACCGCAUCCUAUCAGAUGAGCCUAGGUGGGCUUAGCUAGUUGGUGGGGUAAAGGCCUACCAAGGCGACGAUCCGUAACUGGUCUGAGAGGAUGAUCAGUCACACUGGAACUGAGACACGGUCCAGACUCCUACGGGAGGCAGCAGUGGGGAAUAUUGGACAAUGGGCGAAAGCCUGAUCCAGCCAUGCCGCGUGUAUGAAGAAGGGCGUCGGAGUGUAAAGCACUUUAAGUUGGGAGGCGUUACCAACAGAAUAAGCACCGGCUAACUUCGUGCCAGCAGCCGCGGUAAUUC
rnacentral:rRNA from 1 species